rnacentral:rRNA from 2 species
UUAAAUUGAAGAGUUUGAUCAUGGCUCAGAUUGAACGCUGGCGGCAGGCCUAACACAUGCAAGUCGAACGGUAACAGGAAGAAGCUUGCUUCUUUGCUGACGAGUGGCGGACGGGUGAGUAAUGUCUGGGAAACUGCCUGAUGG